rnacentral:rRNA from 1 species
AGCAGUUGGUCAAAGAACAUUUGGAUGACAUUCUGCAAUCCACCGCAGAGCCUGUGGAGGUCGCCAUCCGCCUUUGCCUCUACUGCAUGAAAACGCAGAUUUUCAACGACGGUAACAAGCGCGCCGCCGUGAUCUUCGCCAACCACUAUCUGAUCUCCAAGGGCGGCGGUCUGUUGGUGAUCCCAGAGAGCCAUGUGCCGGAGUUCAAGCGCCUGCUGGUGAGUUAUUAUGAGGGGCGGGAUGACGGAAGCAUCAUGACUUUCAUGCGGGAGAAGUGUUGGAAGACGUUUUAAAAUAUAUUAGGGAACUUUUGAAUCAGAAUUUGGCAAAAAGGUUCCCUAAACAAUACUCCUAAAAAUCACUUGUCUUUCAUUGAAGUAUCUUGAAAACGACAGGUAACGGCCAAUAGCACAUCUAUGCACCAUUUGUAAAUUAGGGCUUCAGAAGCAUGCGGAAAAAGGAAAGCAGUACAUCAUGUGUACCAGCAUGAUGCCCCCGCAAAUCCGUUAUCCUCUAUAGCCCCAAAAGUUUUGGGAACUAACUACUACCGCGAAAAUCGAUGCGAGUCUUGCAGCACAAAGCAUCUUUUGAGAUAGGCACUUAUUCGUUGAAAUGUUAUCGGAUAAAUCCAGGAACAUUUCAAUGGGAUUCUUGAUUUUCUUCCAAAAUGAUGUAUAAUGUCCAUUGAAAAGUUGUAAGAUAAUACAGGUAAGUUUUCAACGGAGGUUGCAUCAUGGAAAUAAAACGAGAUCGCUAUUUGAAGAAAAUCAUUUUCUUUAUGUGGGAUGGUCAAGUGAAGGUCAUCACAGGUAUUCGCCGCUGCGGUAAGUCCUAUCUGUUGCACACAUUGUUCAAGAAUUACCUUCUCGGCGAAGGGGUGGCCGAGGACCAUAUUCUGUCCUUUGAGCUGGACUUGACCCGUGAUAUUCGCUAUCGUAAUCCGUUGGAGCUUGCCUCUCAUGUUCGGGAAAUCGUGGAACACAGCGCAGGCCAAUAUUAUCUCUUUGUAGACGAAAUUCAGAUGUCCGAUGAAGUUCCGAAUCCAUACAAUCCGGACGGGAAGAAGAUCACCUUUUACGACGCCCUCAACGAUUUGAAGUCCUUGUCCAACUUAGACAUUUAUGUGACCGGCAGCAACUCCAAAAUGCUGUCCUCGGACAUCCUGACGGAGUUCCGGGGGCGCAGCGAUGAGAUCCGUGUGCAUCCGCUUUCCUUUGCCGAAUACUACUCGGCUGUCGGCGGCGAUAAGCAGGACGCCUUUGACAACUACGCAUUCUACGGCGGUAUGCCGCUGAUCCUCUCCCGCCCCAACGACGCCGCUAAAAUGGCCUAUCUGAAAUCGUUGUUUUCCGGGGUCUAUCUGAAGGACAUUGUAGAGCGAAAGAAGAUCAAGCGGGAGGAUGUGCUGUCCGCGAUUCUUGAUCUGCUGUGUUCGUCCAUCGGCUCUCUGACCAAUCCGACAAAAGUUGCAGCCGCCAUCAACACCGUGCAGAAGCGCAGCGGGGAGAAUGUCGUUGCCCUGAACACCGUGAAAGCCUAUAUGGAUCAUUUGUCGGACUCCUUCCUCUUUACCGAAUGCAAACGCUGGGAUGUGAAGGGCAAGAGCUAUUUUGACUAUCCCAACAAGUAUUACUGCGAGGACAUUGGACUGCGAAAUGCCCGCAUCGGCUUCCGUCAGCAGGAAAUGACGCGUAUCACGGAGAACAUCAUUUUCAAUGAGCUGAUGAUCCGUGAAUGCUCCGUUGACAUUGGCAUCGUCUAUAGCAAUGAGAAAAUGCCAAAGGAAGGACCACUCCGGUCGCGCGGGAAAUCGACUUCAUUGCAGCCUCCGGCGGCAAGAAGACCUACAUUCAGUCCGCCUAUGCGCUGGGAACGGAGGAAAAGGCCAUCACCGAGAAUAAGCCCUUCGCGCUGACCGGCGAUUCUUUCCCGAAGCUUAUUGUGCGUCAUGACAUUCGCAUGCAUGUACAGGCUAGGUGGGAGACGAAGAGGGCAGGACGCCAGUCUUGUCGGAGUCGCUGUUGGGAUACCACCCUUGUGGUACUGGAUUUCUAACCAACCUCCGUGACCCGGAGGUGGGACAAUGUCAGGUGGGGAGUUUGACUGGGGCGGUCGCCUCCGAAAGGGUAUCGGAGGCGCUCAAAGGUUCCCUCAGAAUGGUUGGAAACCAUUCGAAGAGUGCAAAGGCAGAAGGGAGCUUGACUGCGACACCGACGGGUGGAGCAGGUACGAAAGUAGGACUUAGUGAUCCGGUGGUAUAAAGUGGGAUUGCCAUCGCUCAACGGAUAAAAGCUACCCUGGGGAUAACAGGCUUAUCACUCCCAAGAGUUCACAUCGACGGAGUGGUUUGGCACCUCGAUGUCGGCUCAUCGCAUCCUGGGGCUGUAGCAGGUCCCAAGGGUUGGGCUGUUCGCCCAUUAAAGCGGUACGCGAGCUGGGUUCAGAACGUCGUGAGACAGUUCGGUCCCUAUCCGGCGCGGGCGGAGGAUAUUUGAGAGGAGCUGUCCUUAGUACGAGAGGACCGGGAUGGACGGACCACUGGUGUAUCUGUUGUCGACCAACGGCAUGGCAGAGUAGCCAAGUCUGGAAGGGAUAAACGCUGAAGGCAUCUAAGCGUGAAGCCCCCCUCAAGAUGAGAUAUCCCUCCUUCGGGAGUAAGACCCCUUGAAGACUACAAGGUAGAUAGGGCAGAGGUGGAAGCAUGGCAACAUGUGGAGCUGACUGUUACUAAUAGGUCGAGGGCUUAAUCU